GCUAUAUAUGUGAUGGGAUAUCACUCCCAUGAUUACUUUAUGUUAUAAGACACAGUUGACUGUAAGAAAGGGAGAUUAUCCUUAGUGGGGCUGACCUAAUGCAGUGAGCCUUUUAGAGCCAAGAGUUUUCUCCAGAUGGUCACAGAAGAGGAAGGCAGAGUGAUACUGGCUGGCCCAGAAGAAAGCAAACAUCCACGUGAAGCACCUAGGGUCUAUAUGGUAAGGAACUACAAGCAACCUCCAGAAACUGAGCACCGUCCCCAGCCAACAGUUAGCAAGAAAAUAGGGAUCUAAAUUAUAUAACUUCAAGGAAAUAAAUCCUGCCAACAACCAGUGAUCCUGGAAGAGGACUCCAAGCUCCAGAUGAGAGCCACAGCCCUGGCCAAUUCCUUGAUGUCAGCCUGGUGAGACACUAAGCAGAAAAAUCCAGGUGGAACUCCCAUCUCCCAUCCCCCUGGGGCAGGGGAAAGGAAUUUGUGGCAGCUGAAUUCAUACCUCCUGGUGCUAAGGGUCCUAGAGGUAUCUGGCUCCUAAGCAAGCCCGUUUCAAGGGAGGAAGCUGAGAAAGAGGAGCAUCAAUUAUAACCAAGGCCUAUAUUCAUGCCUCUUGCCCAACAAAAUGGUGAACAAGACUCCACCUACUUCAAGGAUUGGGAGAAUAGAGAGUGGAAUGGGAACAACUGGUCUAUCAAUGAGAAGAAAGUGCCAACUGAAAACUUUUAGAAAAUACCCAGUUUACUCAAGGAAAAUAACAUGCAUUGAAGGUGAUUGCUCAAUAGAGAGAAGUUGAAACAGCAGACUAAUUGCCUGUUUGUGACACCCAUGUAAUCAACUUGGUGAAAGUUACAUUGAUACAGACACAAGCGAAAAAUUUGAUGGCCAAUAGGGGACAUGAUCCAUUUUCCAGUGCCUAUAGGUUGAGGUUGAUCUGAAAGAUAGGACUAUUUGUGAUCCAGAAUCAAAAGAGUCAAGAAAAGUCUGAGAAUUUCAUCCUUGGAGCAGAAAGUGAAAGUGUUCUGGAGCCAAAAGUAGUAACAAAGAUGGAGGGCAAGAGAUCAUUGGAUUAAAUCAUAUUGGCAGACCAAAUUUCAGAAGAAUCAACACACCAGAGACAAGAAGAACUUGAAGUUAAAGCAAAGUUCCCUUAUACUGGAGAAUUCUUCUGCAUUCUCUGCUCAAAUAUGAUGCCCCCCACCAUGAAGAAGAGAUUCACCUUGGAUAUAACCACAAUUUACCCCCCUCAACAGAUCCCAGGAGGCUGCUGCUUACCUACUAGGGAGCCCACCUGCCUCGCUUUCUGCUUCCCCAGUCCUAUCCAUCUUGCUCCAUAUGAACUUUCCCAGGCCCAAGCUGCAGAUAUGAGAAUGAUAGCUACUCAUCAAACCUUUUUCCUUGUCUUGUUGAGCACACAGCUGGACCCCAUUUCAAAGCCUCUGUUGAGGUUAGAUAUGGUCAUGUGCCUGAGUCCUAGCCAAUAGAAUGUAACUGGGAACUGUUGUGUGUCUCUUUGAAAUCUGGCUGAUGAAUACCCACCCCCAUGCUACCCUCCAUGUUGUUUCCCUUUGUACUGACUUGAUGCAAUUGAGCCCAGGAAGCUUCAAAGCUAUAUGCUGAGGAUGGAUUUGAUAUCACAGAGGAAGCCUGGGUCCCUACAUCACUGCUUUGAGAACUGCUGCCCACCUUUUGGACCACCCAUUUUGGACUUAACAUGAGCAAGAAAUAAACUUUUCUGUUUGAACCAUUAUAUAUGUUUGGAUUUGUAUGUUGCAGCAGCUACAAUUACCUUAACCAAUAUGGACCCCCUGAGAAAAGUUGUUGGACCAAUAUGCAUUUAAGCUCAGGUUUCAAUUUUUCACACAUGAAAAAUUAUAAAUACAUAUAACUUUGAGCUUCUUUAGGAAAGAACGAAUACCCUAACUGGCUUGGUAUUCUCCCAGUAAAUAGUUCUUGAAAGGGUAUUUCAUAUAGUAGAAAUUCAAUGACUGCCUGUUCAAAAUGUUUAAAUGUUCAAGUCUUAAGAAAAAAAUGUCAACUACGAGAAGAUUAAGGAUUCAUUUACAUAGUGAGAGCUAAAUGAAGUCUUACUGAAUAAAUAAAUGAAUGAGUGAAUAAAUGGUAUAUUUGAUGAAAAUAAGUCUCACCUUAAGAUUCACAGAGAAAUUUGCUUAUCUGUAAGAUAAGGAUUGUGAUACCUUGCGCUUUCUACCUCACACGAAAUGUGUUAGUAUCAAAUCAGAGAAUUUACUUUCAAGCAUUUACUUUCUAAAUUACCAAGUGCUAGACACAUGUGAGUUCUCCAGUAUAAUUUAGAUAGAUUACUUUAUGUUUUGUCAGUAUGUUGACAGUUUAUUGAUAAUGGAGUUGAAACUCAAGGAAGGAGAAUAAUCUGUGAAGCACUUCUGAACAUCUUGGAGAUUUUUUUAAAAGUUAUAUUGGUGACCUGAAGAUUUUAGACCUCUUAAAAUUCUGAAUUACUAUUAACUUGCAGAUAAAAUAAUGCCAUUAUUUACCACUGGACUCAAGAGAACAUCUUUGUGUAUUAUUGGUACCCUGAAAUUAUAACUAAUCAUAUCCCCUCUGUAUCUCCCUAAGAUGUAUCUGCCACUUCUUAGGUUCCUACUUAGUGAUUAGAGUCAGAAAAGCAUUAAUCAACACUGCUGUGCCAAAUACUAUGGAAAUUCAUUUAACCAUAUUACAUAAUUGAAAUGUCAGAAUGUUUAAACACUUUCUGUCAUAUGAAAAUAUAUUGGAAAUGUCUAGAACCAAGCUGGCAGAGAAAAACACAAGGAAUGUUCUUAUAAAACAAAUGAGAUCUAGCUGGGCAUGGUGGCAUGUGCCUGUAGUUCCAGCUGCUCAGGAGGCUGAGGUGGGAGGACUGCUUGAGCCCAGGAGUUUGAGGCCAGCCUGGACAACAUAAUGAGAUCUCCAUCACUAAAAAUAAAUUUUAAAAUAAUGGAUAAGAAAGAUUUAAUGAUCCAUGGAAUGGUUGUUUGUGGGCUUUUGGUCAGAAGCCUGAGAGUGGGGAUUAGACAAAAGUGGCUGUCCAAUGUGUCAGUGGUGAUGCCAAUCUCUUGCCAGCUGAAAUUGAGAAGUAUAUGCAGCAGGCUUCAAUGACUGCCCUCACUGCUGAAAAGAAUAUAUCUUGUAUUGCCUGGGCAGGUGACCUUCACCAGGGGUUAAGAGAAUUCCUGUGAGUUCAUUGUGAGACUACCUCUCUUUCAUUUCCCAGUCCUUCAUCAGAAAAUUCAAGAGGCUCCUAUCACAUCCUAGAAUAAAGAUUUCCUUUAUGCAGGCUCCAUCCUCCAUCAGUAGGAGUCAAGUGGUAGCCCCAAAUUCUGCAUAUUUCUCUCACUCCUUUCAAACUGUCCAAUACUUACUAGCACUUUCUUCUUUGGAACAUCAUGUCCUAUAUUUCUGUCAUUUCAGUCACAAGAAGUGUAGGGCCCUAGAUCGUCCCCUAUCCCUUGGCCUUUAAUCUCCUUAUGGCUCCAAAAAUUGCCUUUUCUGCCACCAUCUCCCUUCUGCCCCAUCUCCUGAAAGAACUGGAACUUUCUGUCAAGCAUCUAUCAAUUAUCAACCAAAUUCCCUACAUCCCCUCACAUUUCCUUAUUUUAUUUGCUGGAACUAAAACUCACCUCUCCUCAAAGGACCCUGCUUGCCUUGCAGCCUCCUCAAGGGGUGGCUGUUUUCUCUCCCAGACCCCUCAAAGCACUGAGUCUGGAUGUGGGGUAGUGUCCUCCUCCCUCCUCAUUGCUUCUUCCAGAUCAUUAUUCCUCAUUUCUCCCUAAGACUACACAGUUUGAAUGACUUCAAUAUUGCCAAACCUCAAAGUGUAUUUGAGUCUUCAUUUUACUUGAUAGAUCAGCAGCAUUUUACACAGUUGAUCACUCUCUUUCUGCUGAGACAGUUUCUUCACUUGACUUCCAGGACACCACACUCUCCGGCUUGCUUCCUGCUUCACUAGUUGCUCCUUCUCUGUUCCUUUGCUACUUCCUUCUCAUCCCACUUAUCUCUAAGUGAGAGCCCCUGCACUUAAUCUUUGAACCUUGCCUCUUCUCUGGAUACACUUGCUGCCUUAACAAUCUCAUUUAAUCUCAUGAUUUUCUAUGCUUUCUAUAUGUUGAUGACUCUACAAGUUAUAGCUUUAUUCCAGAACUUUCUCCUGAACUUGAGAUGUAUGUAUCCAAGGGCUCACCUGACAUCUUCAUCUGGAUAUUAAUAGGUAUUUCAAAAUUAACACAUGAAAAACUGAGCUCCUGAUUUUUUCUUCAGAUCUUCUUCUCUUGAAGCCCCUCCAACCCACACCAAUCUCAGCAAAUGACAAUCCCAAUCUUUCAGUCAUUCAGGCCAAAAACUUUGAAGGCAUCCUUGACUCCUUUCUUUCUCUCACACUGCACAUCAAAUUUAUCAGAAAACCCUAAUGGAUCCUCUUUCAAAAUAUAUGUAUGGUAUCUGACCAGUUCUUACUGGCUUUACAACUACAACCCUGGCAACUGUUAUCUGUUACUUGGAUUGCUGCAAUAACUUCCUAACUGAUCCUUCUACUUCUGUCCUUGCCUCCUUCAUUUCUAUUCUAAAAAAAAGCAGCCAAAGUAAUUCUGUUAAACAUAAGCAGAAUAUAUCACUCGUUUGAUUAUAACCCUACAAUGGCUUCCUAGCUCACACUGUGUAAAAGUUAAAGUCCUACAAUAACCCUUCAAAGUUUUUGGCUAAGUAUGUAAGAUAUCUAGUGUGAUAGCAUUAAGUGCUGAGGUGGAAAAUUAAAGCAGGGAAUGGAAAUAGAGAGCAUCAAAGAUAGAGUGAUGAUUGCAUUUUAAAUAGACUUGAAGGAGAUAAUAGAGUAUGCCAUACAGAUAUUUAGGGAAAUAAUAUUCUAUGCAGAGAAAAGAGCAGGUGCAAAGGCCCUAAGGCAGAAGCAUGCUGGAAUAUACAAAGAACAGCAAGAAAGCUUUGCGCACUGGAGUGGCAGGAGAUGAGGUGAGACAGGCCUAUUGAUAAUGUCUCUUUCACUAAAAUAUAACAUGCAUGUGGAUAGAAAUGUUUGGCCUAUUUUAUCUACUGUUUUAUAACUAGAACUCAACUCUCAGCUAGCAUUCUACUCACACUGACCAUGUGUUCUGAGUUACAGUGGCAUUUUAUGUUACAGAAUCUUUUUUUGAGACCGGGUCUGGCCCUGUUGCCCAGGCUGAAGUGCAGUGGCGUGAUCUUGGCUCACUGCAACCUCUGCCUCCCAGGCUCAAGCCAUCCUCCCACCUCAGCCUCCCGAGUAGCUGGGACUACGCGCACACCACCAUGCCUGGCUAGUUUUUAUAUUAUUUGUAGAGACAGGGUUUCGCCAUGUUGGCUAGGCUGGUCUUAAACUUCUGAGCUCAAGUGAUCCACCUGCCUUGGCCUCUCAGAGUGCUGGGAUUAUGGGGUGUGAACCACCACACCCAGCCUAUGUUACAUAAUUUCGGUUUUUAGUGUCCAUAAUUACGGUCUGAAAUAGGUCAAGGGGACCCCAUGAUGGUCCUGGGAGAUGAGCAUUGAGACUACAAUGAUAGAAUGGAUCAGACCAUGCUUGAAGGACCUCAGAAGGUCUAGUCAAACUGUCAACUAACCCUCAUAGUUUGCAGAGCUGCUGGGAGACAAAAUCAUGUCCAGAACUCUGGAGCCACAGGAUUCCUUUGGGUCCCCAGAACUUCUUUGGAAAAGAUUAUAAUGGCUUUAACAUCAUUAACGUUUAUUGGGUUUUUACAAUGUAACAGGCAUGGUUCUAUGCACUUUACACAACUAAUUCAUUGAAUUCUCUCAACAACCUAAUGAGGUCAGAACUAUUAUCCUCAUUUUUGAUGUGAGAAAACUGAAGUACAGAGAGGUUAUGUGGCUUCCAAAGUCACAUAGUUUAAAAGUGGCAGAGACUGGAUUCAAAUGUAAACAAUAACCACUGCCGGGGUACCAUGGGAAGUUGUGGUCCAGACACUAAAUCAAGCUGCACCCAAGGUGUCCUAAUCCUACUCCUUCUUUCUCCACUGGAUGAGAGAAAAGGAGCAGGACCUAAGCCUCCUGAUUUUGUGGGAAUUUGCUUUUCUGUUCCAUGUUUCUCCCUCCGCUGCCCUUCUAUGCAUUGAAAUGAUGGGCAGGGGAACAUUUUCCGCCUCUGGAGGCAGGCGAGCAAAGACUCGAUGCACUUCCCCACCUCUUGCACUGGCUCAUACUUUAAUGGCUGGAAGUUUAAAAUCACAUCCCAAGCUUCUUGGAACUCAAAAUUCAGUUAUCUGACUCAGUAAAAUGUAGCUUUCUCACUUAAAAGGAUUUGCCCAAGGGGCCUCUGGGAUUUCAAAUAUACUUAAAAGCAACAACUGUGUUGAAUCAUAGAAUCAUAAGGGAUUGCAUUUCCGCUGGAGAACAGACAGGAUGUUUUAAACAGAGGGGGAAAUGUUUGAAGUUCGCCAAGCUUUGAGUUUCAUCCCACCCACCACAUCUGAAAACUAUCUGAGUCAUUUGAUGAAGGCAAAAUACAGCUGGGCUCCCUUAUUCUUAGUGUUAUUGUGGCCUACCAUCUUGACAUUGUGAUGCUAUCUGUGCAAGAACAUUUCACCUACAUCUACCAACCCUUUUCUAAACUGGAAUCAGGAAGAGUCUGUUCUCCAAAGUCUAUCUGGAGUGGAGUGGGCUGAGGGUGGUGUGGAGUAAAUAUUCUUAUAGACAGAAGGCAAAUACAGCUCUAGACAAAACAGUGAAGAGAAACAGGUUUGUCCAUGGCCCUGAGCUGCUGUCAAGGAGGUUACAGGGCCUUUAUCUCUUUCAUGGUGCUGCAGUAUUGUGUAGUGUGUUUAUGAACGUAGAUUUGGGAGUCAAAAAGAUACACGUUUAAUCUUGACCCUACCCACUUAUUUACUCACUGUGAAUCCUUGGGCAGAUUACUUAACCUUUCUAAUU
rnacentral:lncRNA from 1 species